UACGAAGGGGGCUAGCGUUGUUCGGAUUUACUGGGCGUAAAGCGCACGUAGGCGGUUUGUUAAGUCAGGGGUGAAAUCCCGGAGCUCAACUCCGGAACUGCCUUUGAUACUGGCAAGCUAGAGUCCGGAAGAGGUAAGUGGAACUCCUAGUGUAGAGGUGGAAUUCGUAGAUAUUAGGAAGAACACCAGUGGCGAAGGCGGCUUACCUGGAC
rnacentral:rRNA from 1 species